GACCGCAUAGCUCAGUUGUCAGACUCAGAGCAUUGGGCUAGUACUCCAAAGGUCGUAGGUUCGAAUCCCACUGUGGCCA